UGCAGUCGAACGGUAACAGGGAGGGCUUGCUCUCCGCUGACGAGUGGCGCACGGGUGCGUAACGCGUAUGCAACUUUCCUCUAACUAGAGAAUAGCCCGGAGAAAUCCGGAUUAAUACUCUAUAGUAUUUUAGAUUCGCAUGUUUCUAAAAUUAAAACUUCGGUGGUUAGAGAUAGGCAUGCGUCCUAUUAGUUUGUUGGUGAGGUAACGGCUCACCAAGACUACGAUAGGUAGGGGGCCUGAGAGGGUGAUCCCCCACACUGGUACUGAGACACGGACCAGACUCCUACGGGAGGCAGCAGUGAGGAAUAUUGGUCAAUGGACGAAAGUCUGAACCAGCCAUGCCGCGUGCAGGAUGAAUGCCCUAUGGGUUGUAAACUGCUUUUAUUAGAGAAGAAACCCUUUUACGUGUAAAAGGCUGACGGUACCUAAUGAAUAAGCACCGGCUAACUCCGUGCCAGCAGCCGCGGUAAUACGGAGGGUGCAAGCGUCAUCCGGAUUUAUUGGGUUUAAAGGGUGCGUAGGCGGAUUAUUAAGUCAGUGGUGAAAGCCUAUAGCUUAACUAUAGAACUGCCAUUGAUACUGAUAAUCUUGAGUAUAGUUGAAGUGGGUAGAAUGUACUAUGUAGCGGUGAAAUGCUUAGAUAUAGUACAGAAUACCAAUCGCGAAGGCAGCUCACUAAACUAUUACUGACGCUGAGGCACGAAAGCGUGGGGAGCAAACAGGAUUAGAUACCCUGGUAGUCCACGCUGUANACGAUGAUUACUAGGUGCUGGCAACAUAAGGUCAGUACCCAAGCGAAAGUGAUAAGUAAUCC
rnacentral:rRNA from 1 species